rnacentral:tRNA from 1 species
CCCGGGCUUCUCCCGUU